ensembl:lncRNA
GUCUGACUUUAGAAACAUAGGCAUGUGUGGGGUUGAGUUCUACAGAGGUGUGCGUCUGACUUUAGAAACAUAAGGCACGUGUGGCCUUGAGUUCUACAGAGGUGUGUGUCUGACUUGAGAAACAUAGGGCAUGUGUGGGGUUGAGUUAUACAGAGGUGUGUGUCUGACUUUAGAAACAUAAGGCAUGUUUGGGGUUCAGUUCUACAGAGGUGUGUGUCUGACUUUAGGAACAUAAGGCAUGUUUGGGGUUGAGUUAUACAGAGGUAUGCGUCUGACUUUAGAAACAUAAGGCAUGUUUGGGGUUG